CUGGGCAGGUGCUUCCUUGGCCUCGCCCCUGUGCAGCCCCCAUUUCCACGCCCUGGAAGUGACCCCUGCCGGGAGAAAGUGGGAGCAUUUGGGAGCAUGGUAGCGGCAGGCUUGUGGCGGACACGCGGACCGUGCCUGUGCGAAACCUUCAGAACCCGCAUUCGCCCCAGCCGCUCCUGGACCCAGGUCCACCCGUGCCGGAUCCCUCCCUGGCCACCUUCUGGUCCAGACCUGACUGUCACCUGCUCCACAUUUUCCUGGCUCCCCUGCUCGAUCCCGGCCUCCCAGGGAGCCGAUCUGGUGGGAUCAGACUUGGGAUUUUCAAAGGGAAAAAAGCUGAAUUUUCUUCUUUAGAGUUUUUGUUCUUAUAUCUGACUCCUGCUUUGCAAAAGCAUCGUGUUCAUUUUGGAAGCAGCUGUGAUGCUUGUUUCUCCAGGAGACAAAUUAAUAAAUUAAGAAGUCACCGCCACUGCCAGGCACCAGUCCCCCUCAGGAUCACUGGAUGUGAGGGGGGCCCGGUCCCCGAGCUCCCGCAUCGUGUUUCAGUGUCAUUGGAAAGGACACAGACUUCAGGGUGGUUCACGGCUGCUUCCAAGGUGUGGCAGUGUGGACAGCACCUGUCCCACUCCCCUCGAGGUGUCUGUGUGCGCACAGGGAC
rnacentral:lncRNA from 1 species